GAUGAACGCUGGCGGCGUGCCUAAUACAUGCAAGUCGAGCGAACAGACGAGGAGCUUGCUCCUCUGACGUUAGCGGCGGACGGGUGAGUAACACGUGGAUAACCUACCUAUAAGACUGGGAUAACUUCGGGAAACCGGAGCUAAUACCGGAUAAUAUAUUGAACCGCAUGGUUCAAUAGUGAAAGACGGUUUUGCUGUCACUUAUAGAUGGAUCCGCGCCGCAUUAGCUAGUUGGUAAGGUAACGGCUUACCAAGGCAACGAUGCGUAGCCGACCUGAGAGGGUGAUCGGCCACACUGGAACUGAGACACGGUCCAGACUCCUACGGGAGGCAGCAGUAGGGAAGCUUCCGCAAUGGGCGAAAGCCUGACGGAGCAACGCCGCGUGAAUGAUGAAGGUCUUCGGAUCGUAAAACUCUGUUAUUAGGGAAGAACAAAUGUGUAAGUAACUAUGCACGUCUUGACGGUACCUAAUCAGAAGGCCACGGCUAACUACGUG
rnacentral:rRNA from 1 species